rnacentral:misc_RNA from 1 species
CAGGGAACCUGCUUAAUGGUAAGAGCAUCUCAACUAUUCUAUGCUAAUAGAUGGACAUUUUUUAAAUAACUUUGCCAAUUUUGCUACAGAAAGUAGUUGGCCUUUUGCUUUUGUUGUUUCAAUUGGAAGUGCUACGGGAUUGGCACUUUAGGAGUUAUAACAAAUAUUUUUCCUUACUCUGCAAUUUUUGUGUCUCCUCUGUCUGCUUUGCUAAUUUGAACUCCUCCAACAGAGUAAGGACAACCCAUUAGGAG